UAUGAUCGUAUUUUUUACAUGGAUAACUGNGGUAAUUCUAGAGCAAAUACAUGCAUCUCGCCGGUGCCCUCGUGGCGCCGGUGCAGUUAUUUGCUCAAAACCAAUCAGGCCCUCGGGUCUGUCAAUUGGUGACUCUGAAUAACCGAAGCGAAGCGCGUGGUCUCGAACCGGCGCUAGAUCUUUCAAGUGUCUGACUUAUCAGCUUGUUGUUAGGUUAUGUUCCUAACAAGGCAGUUACGGGUAACGGAGUGUUAGGGCCCGACACCGGAGAGGGAGCCUGAGAAACGGCUACCACAUCCAAGGAAGGCAGCAGGCGCGCAAAUUACCCACUCCCGGCACGGGGAAGGUAGUGACGAAAAAUAACGAUGCGAGAGCUUUAUGCUUCUCGUAAUCGAAAUGGGUACACUUUUUAAA
rnacentral:rRNA from 1 species